ACUCCUACGGGAGGCAGCAGUGGGGAAUAUUGCACAAUGGGCGCAAGCCUGAUGCAGCCAUGCCGCGUGUAUGAAGAAGGCCUUCGGGUUGUAAAGUACUUUCAGCAGUGAGGAAGGUGGUAGUGUUAAUAGCACUAUCAUUUGACGUUAGCUGCAGAAGAAGCACCGGCUAACUCCGUGCCAGCAGCCGCGGUAAUACGGAGGGUGCGAGCGUUAAUCGGAAUUACUGGGCGUAAAGCGCAUGCAGGUGGUUUGUUAAGUCAGAUGUGAAAGCCCGGGGCUCAACCUCGGAAUAGCAUUUGAAACUGGCAGACUAGAGUACUGUAGAGGGGGGUAGAAUUUCAGGUGUAGCGGUGAAAUGCGUAGAGAUCUGAAGGAAUACCGGUGGCGAAGGCGGCCCCCUGGACAGAUACUGACACUCAGAUGCGAAAGCGUGGGGAGCAAACAGGAUUAGAUACCCUGGUAGGAUACCG
rnacentral:rRNA from 1 species